UUUUAUGGAGAGUUUGAUCCUGGCUCAGGAUGAACGCUGGCGGCGUGCCUAAUACAUGCAAGUCGAGCGAACGGAUGAGAAGCUUGCUUCUCUGAUGUUAGCGGCGGACGGGUGAGUAACACGUGGAUAACCUACCUAUAAGACUGGGAUAACUUCGGGAAACCGGAGCUAAUACCGGAUAAUAUUUUGAACCGCAUGGUUCAAAAGUAAAAGACGGUCUUGCUGUCACUUAUAGAU
rnacentral:rRNA from 1 species